GGUCCGAGUAACUCCCCCGGUGAAGGUGUGCAAGCUGAUACAUGUAUGCGGCAUGCUCCACAACAUCUGCAAGGACAGGAAUAUUCCCAUUCCUCUCGAUGCGGCUCAACCUAACGCUGAAGAAGUGGAUCUUGCCAUGGCACAACCUGAAGGUGUGCAAGUUGUGCCGCCACUUCCAGCUGGUCAGCGGAAUGAAGGUCGCCUGUAUCGAGAUGAAUUCUGCAACUUGCAUUUCCACAACGAAGACUGAAACCCGUUCCUCAGCACGACUGGACAAGUACAUGCCAAGCUGCCUCCCGUGCCCUUUCAGCUGCCUCCUGCGCCCUUGCAACUGCCUCCUGCGCCCUUGCAGCUCCUGUGAAGGCCCGAGCACAAGCCGCCACCUCCUCUGCGGCUGCCUUCAUGGCCCGUGCAGCCUCCUCCCCAGCCUGUGCAGCUGCUGCUGUAGCUCUUGAAGCUACAGCCUCCUCCUCAGCAGCUGCCACCUUUGCUUGAGCAGCUGCUGCAUCAUCCUCAGCUGGCACCUUCCCCCAGGCACCCCCCUCAGUUUGUGGCUGCAGGGUGGGCUCAGGCACAAUUAUUACUGUUGGUGCCUCAGCACCUCCCUGACCUACAAUGAGCUGGCUCGC